rnacentral:lncRNA from 1 species
ACUUCUUCACCGCCCCACCAAAGAACUAGACGAAGACCACGUCGUCGCCGCACAGCUCUUGGACUCCAAGAGAGGAAGGAAUCAUUCCUCCGCCGAGAUUUUUGUUUUCCCCUUCUCAAGAAUACGGAAAUGAAUACUGUUGGUUUUUCCUCGAAUUCAAGUAUGUUAUUGGCCAUGACUAAUUGUAUGGCUGUACACCAUUGAUUGUUGUGAUCAUACACACAAACCUCGAUCUGAAUAAUCCCUCUAUAUAUGUCUUGAAGAAUAACUAUGCGUGUGUGUGUCUCUCUUUUUCUAUCAUCGAUUGGAAACAUUUAGUUUGUGCUGGUCUUCUCCGUGGAAACUAGCCAAGUUGGCAUGCAGGCUUUUUCCUCGCAUGUUUGGUCAACACAAAACUCGACAAGGCAAUUGGGCAGCGGCCUAUUUUCUUGGAAGGUGUCAAAGUACGUAGUGCACAACACGCUGGUUAUUGAGAGACGG